rnacentral:misc_RNA from 1 species
GUUUUUAAGUAUGGUAUUAAGAUAAUAUGAGUCUACGCUUCGUAGUAUGCAGUCGCACACAAACACACACAUAUAUAAUGCUUAGUAUCGUGGCCGUUUCAUUGCCGCGUUACAUGGAUUUCCGUUCGCUUUUUUCAAAUCACCCCCAUUCUAAAGAAGUUUUCAUGAUCCGAAUACCGAGAGUGAAAUAAAUGACGAUAUUGUGUCAAGUGUCGAGUUUAUUGAAUAUUACGUUGAGAUAAAUAACGUUUCAAUGUGUAAUAUAUUUUUCUGUUUUCAAUACGUUCUUUUUAACUUGCUUUUAAAAAUUUAAAAGAUAUACCAAGCUUUCUCCCAAUUCGUUCCUUUUCGUUAAUAAUUUGUAAUAAGAGAAGACCACGGUUAGGUCGUUAUCCAAUCAAAGACGAAUGUGUCGGGAAAAGAAACUAGCAGCGCCCCCACGUAAAUACGUUUCACCAAUGACAUAUACAGAAAUCCCCCUCGAUAGAAAAUGAAAAGACAGAGAAAUAGUGAGGGAGUAAGAGAGAGAAAAAAAUAAAAACGAAAAAAAGCAGGAAGAUAGUACUAAGGGUGACUAACGAGUGGGCCAUAGAUGGCGCGGGAGAAAGGGAAUAAAAGAAAGCUGUUGAGUCUGUGAGAAAGAAAGAAAGAAGAAGAGGGAGGAAGGGGGAGAGAAAGAGAUGGAGAAAAAGACUCGCGUCGGCAAAGGAAAACGUCAUCGAAGUCGCUCGACGUCAUCGUAUCGUCGCGCGUUGUCGUUGUCGCAGGAGACGCCUCAUAGUAGGCAACCCGUUCAGCAGUCUCGUACGAAGUGCCACGGAAACGAACAACACGAUUCUUCCUCCUAUCCGUUUCUAUAAUAUUCUCUCUUUCUCUGUCUUCUCUUUCAUCCUCUGCCUUCUCUCUCAGCGCACGAUCACGAAAAAGUUUUACGAUAGGAAGUGGAAACCCACGAGGACUUUGGGGUGGCCUUUGGGAGAAGCGCAUCGAUCCGCGACUGCACUAACUGCAACACGGACGAUACGAUGUGAACGGAUAAAUGCUCCCGUCGAUAAUUACGGGCGAUAGUCGAGAGUCGAAAAAGAACUCGCGAGUGUACUCGUUUGAUCGUUGUCGUUGUUAUUAAAAAAGCAGCAUCAAUUUCUAAAUGGGUCAAGUCGUGCCGGCGACACGAUAUGCAAGAAACAUUGCCACCACGAAUCACUGCCUGGCCUAGUUUUUUCUUCCUCCUCCAGUACCAUCGACACAACUACUACCACUACCGACCACUACUACCACCACUUUCAACCUCAACUCUACCACCUCCUUCACCUCGUUCUCGAGGGCAAACGAAUAAAGGGUGAGAGGAAUAACGGUGGUAUUUCACGCGACUAGUGAACAUUGCCAGUGACUCCAUUUACAAAGUUUCGUCUCUUUACUAUUCUCGUCGUUGUCAUCGUCGUCUUCGUCGUCGUUAUCGUGCAGCCAUGGAAGACUGUUCUCCGCGAUUCGUGUCUUUCGGCUAACGGGAGUGCAUCGAUCACUACUACUACUAGUAUUCGUUAACAAAUAAGGCCGAGUAACAAAUCGAGCCGAGGUUAUCAUUACCUAGGAAGUAAUAGAGUUUCGUUAAUUCGUCAAAAAUGGCUACGAAUAAACCACCAGAGAUGAAUUACACGUGCGAGAUUUGUGGGUUGGAGGGUCUCAAUGACGAAGAAAUGAGAUCGCACAUGGUUUUAUAUCAUGUUCAAGGAGCUGCCAAUUGUCCUUUUUGCGAUCUCGACGAAAUCUCGCCUGCAGAAAUGCUAGUUCACGUAAACAGCGCACACUUGGAUUAUUUAACACCAAGUACUCCAGAAAACGAAAUGCUGGCAUUUAUCGAUGAUGACUCCACCAUAGAGGAUCAUAGACAUGACGAAUGCCGUGGCCCUUCUCCAUCAAUGUCUCUUAGACCACCACAUCUACAAAAUGGAUGGUCUGCUUCUCACAGUUCUCGUAUGCACCAACAACAAUUACAGCAACAACAGAAUUCUAAAACCCGUAAAGUGGAUGUACUAACUGCUAGUCCCAAUGUAAACAAUAACAAUAAUAACAACGAUAACAGCAAUGCUAAUAGCGUAUUGGAAGGUUCAGCUGGUCAUGGAUCUCCAUUACGCUCAGGCCUAAAUCUUCAAUUACGCUCACAUGCUUCUCCAAAAUUAGCUGUUCAAGAAUGUCCAAUGUGUCAAUAUACUUCAGACAGUCCGUUAAGAUUGGAAGAGCAUAUCAAUCGACAACAUUUCGAUCUCACUUCUCCAUCUUUUCCACCUUCAUCACCUCCAACUAAAGACGGAGUCUUCAACUGCCCCUUUUGCGUAAUUUCAUUUCCUGAUUCCUCUGAUCUCGUGUUACAUGUUAAUAUCGAACACAAAGAUAUACUCAGCCCUGCAAAUGGAUCAGCCUUGCAGUCUGAUUUGGCUACUGUUGGUAGCGAUACACCUUCCUGUCCAGUUUGUUCCAGUACAUCGUUUAAAAAUAAUGAUGACCUAACGUUACACGUCGAGGAACAUUUUAACAAAAAAAGUACUCCAUCACCCAUAACACCAGACCAUUCGACAGAUAGAAUGUUAGCAAAAGAUAUGGAGAGGCGAGAAAAAGAAGUUCGAAAAUUACGUGAGCAACGAGAAUUUGAAAUGUUACGGGCACAAUAUGGAAUGGACAAUCAGGGUAAUUUUAGAGAACAAAGUGUGACUAAUAUGCAACGAGCCGUCCUUGCAGGCGAAAUGACGGUAGCAGAUUUUUAUGAAAGACAAACAGGGUUAACAGUUGCUGAAAGCAGUGGUAUCGAUGAUGGCAGUUCUUGUACACGUGGGCUGGUUCCCAAAAUACGAGCUGUUAGUCAAACAUGCAGUAACGUAGUAAAUACAUGGAUGUGUUCUACAGUGGAUCAUUAUGCUUGUACUUAUGGAGAUAAAGGCUGGGGCUGCGGCUAUAGGAAUAUGCAAAUGUUGAUUUCAUCUCUUUUGCAGCAUACUGGAUACAAUGAGUUAGUGUACAAAGCUUGGAGUUCUGGCCUUGAUAGUGGGAGUUCCAACGACAAUCCUUUGCGUAGUUCUAUGCCUUCCAUAUCUAGGCUCCAAAAAAUGAUAGAAUGGGCUUGGGCUCAAGGUUUUGAUAUUCAAGGUGCUGAGCAGCUUGGUGGUAAACUUACGAACACUAGGAAAUGGAUUGGUCUUACGGAAGUCUCAACUUUGUUAUCCAGUUUAAGAAUAAAAUGUCAGCUAGUAGACUUCUACAGACCCACUAGUGCCGAUGGAGGACAUCCUGAAAUGUUUAAUUGGGUGUUACAAUAUUUCCAGAGAUGUGACGACUUUAAACCUCCACUUUAUUUACAACAUCAAGGUCAUAGCAGAACAAUAAUUGGUGUAGAACGAUUAAGAGAUGGUUCCAUAACAAUGUUAGUAUUAGAUCCAAGUCACAGCCCAUCUCAAAUGGCACAAUUUAAUAGUACGAGUAGUGCACCUGGAGCAAUGCGACUUGUGCGUAAAUCAACUGCUGCGAUGAAAGCUAGACAGUAUCAAAUUGCUACUGUCACUAGUAUUAUGGAUACAGAAGAAUCUUAUCAACAAAGUAAAGUAUUACAUUGGAUGCGCAUUCCACAAGACAGCUGAGAAUUGCUGCUCCAAAUGAAAGCACAGCAGUGCUCAAAGAUAAUAGACUGCCUCAAACCGUUCUUGUCCAGCAUCCUUGAAAUUACGUGACCGUAAUGCUUUAGGUUUAUCACUAGCAUACUUGCCUCCAUUAUAGUAGCAGCAAAAUGAUUAUGCUGUGUUAACUUCGAUCCGGCCAAUCCUCCUAUGGCGAUCGAUAAUACCAAUUGAAAAAGCGUCCUGGCAGAGCUUGGAAAAAAUCUUUUUCGUAGCUGUGAUGCGGUUAUUUAAUGUUGAUCGUUCGUCUGUCAUAAACAUUUUUAGAGAUGCUCCAAUAUCGAUGUCAAUGCAGUAUUCUCUUGUUAUCUGUCUUUCUUUGUGUAUGAUAUAUCAUUCUAUGGAAAUGCUGUCAAUUUUCAUUCGAUAUCGAAUGCCAGUAGGUAUAUACGUACAUAUAUAUGUACUUACCUACAAUACACACAUAUACACAGUAUAAUAAAAUUUUAUAUGACAAACAAAAUUAUUCUUGGACGUGUAUUGAUUAAUAGCUUCUGUAUAACUGGGAGCAUCUAAAGAAAUGUUUCUGUCCAUAUACCUAUACCCUAUAUAUUUACACACAAAAGACACUUGCACAUUUGACAUCACAUUUCACCCAGUCACAUAUAAAGUACAACUACUUUCAUACUAAUUACAAAUAUUCUAUUUAAUUAUUCAAUUAACUUAAGACUAACCGUGCCCUAACUCAUAAGUCCAAUGAAAUGCUAUGAAUGAGGGAAAAACGAAACUACAGUCCAUUUACUUGUUAUUUAUAUUAUAUACUUAAUCGUUACGUAAAUUAGUAAAUUCUUAUUAUUAUUACUCUUAUUAUAUUUCAGAAAUUAUACUGAGAUACCAUUAAGAUCUAUUUAUUAUAGUUACAAUUUUUACGGUGACCAUUAUAAAAAAAAAAGGAAAAUGACAAUUUAUCAUGAUUAAAGGGUCACCGAUUGUUUUAUGGUUUCAAUAUUUAUGAUGCACCAGUCAUAUUUGUCUUUUGGCUCAAUAGGACCACACGCAGUAACUAUGACUGACCGCAAAACUACCAAAAAUAAUAAUUAUAGAUAUGUAACAGAUUUUGCCAUGAAUCAAUUAAGAAUCUGUUCAUUAUUAUGGAGUGUUCAGGGAAACCAAGCUGUGGAAUUGUUAUGCAAGAGUAAAAAAAACUUUCGCAUUAGCCACAUGUCAAAUUAAAAUAUAUGCUUUAUUAGAAUUCCCAAGCCCGAUUUUGCAUUUUAUUUCCAAGAACUUAUAAUAAUAUAUUCUAAAUUAUAAAAGAUAAAUUUAUUAGUUAUAAAUUCUAUAUUAUAUUGUUACAAUUGUAAUAUAAUUUUAUAUCAUUUUAUUUCCAACACAAGUGACCUCAUUGUUAAGUUUCUAAUUUUUAUUCAUUUAUCUAGUUGUUUACAGUCAACAAUUUAUGUUAGAUUAAAUUAUGAAUUAUAAACUAUUACAAAAUGUUAACCAUGGCAAGAUACAAAUCACAAUGUAGUUUGAUCGAAUAUUAGCUUAGAAAGAGCUCUUUUAGUUGAAUAUAACAAAUCAUUGUAUUAAGAAUAAUUUAUCAAUCACUUUUGGUAUAUGUAAAUAAAAAUUGGUUAUAUAAGGAAUAAA